rnacentral:rRNA from 1 species
GACGAAACGCUGGCGGCGAUGCUUAAUACAUGCAAGUCGAGCGAAGUUUUUCUGGUGCUUGCACUAGAAAAACUUAGCGGCGAACGGGUGAGUAACACGUAAAGAACUGCUCAUAGACGGGGACAACUAUUGGAACGAUAGCUAAUACCGGAUAACAGCAUAAAUCGCAUGAUAUAUGUUUAAAAGUUGGUUUUCGGCUAACACUAUGAGAUGGCUUUGCGGUGCAUUAGCUAGUUGGUGGGGUAAAGGCCUACCAAGGCGACGAUGCAUAGCCGACCUGAGAGGGUGAUCGGCCACACUGGGACUGAGACACGGCCCAGACUCCUACGGGAGGCAGCAGUAGGGAAUCUUCCGCAAUGGGCGAAAGCCUGACGGAGCAACGCCGCGUGAGUGAAGAAGGAUUUCGGUUCGUAAAGCUCUGUCGUUAGGGAAGAAUGAUUGUAUAGUAACUAUAUACAGUAGAGACGGUACCUAACCAGAAAGCCACGGCUAACUACGUGCCAGCAGCCGCGGUAAUACGUAGGUGGCAAGCGUUGUCCGGAAUUAUUGGGCGUAAAGCGCGCGCAGGUGGUUUAAUAAGUCUGAUGUGAAAGCCCACGGCUCAACCGUGGAGGGUCAUUGGAAACUGUUAAACUUGAGUGCAGGAGAGAAAAGUGGAAUUCCUAGUGUAGCGGUGAAAUGCGUAGAGAUUAGGAGGAACACCAGUGGCGAAGGCGGCUUUUUGGCCUGUAACUGACACUGAGGCGCGAAAGCGUGGGGAGCAAACAGG